UACGUAGGGAGCAAGCGUUGUCCGGAAUCAUUGGGCGUAAAGCGCGCGUAGGCGGCCUCAUAAGUCCGUUGUGAAAGUCAAAGGCUCAACCUUUGAAAGCCGAUGGAUACUGUGAGGCUAGAGUCCGGAAGAGGCGAGUGGAAAUUCCUGGUGUAGCGGUGGAAUGCGCAGAUAUCAGGAAGAACACCCGUGGCGAAAGCGGCUCUCUGGAACGGUACUGACGCUGAGACGCGAAAAGCCGUGGGGGAGC
rnacentral:rRNA from 1 species